rnacentral:lncRNA from 1 species
CCUGUGCCAUGGAGCAUGCUGUCUAGAUUUUGUCCUUGAACAUGGAGAAUGAUAAGCAGAUAGGCUCCAAGCAAUCGCUCACAAACUCUCAGUCGAGUCAUUGUUCACUGUUAAUCCUUCCUGUGCAAGGCAAGUGGCCCUUCUGCUUGACAAUCGUUAAGCUUAGUCUGUUUGGUGAAGCCUAAUACAAGACUGCAAGGAUGAUUCUGUAACUCUUCCAACUUCGUUUCCUUACUUUGAAUUAAGAAACUGAAUGAAACUAUACUGUACUUCAAGCUUCCUCCAGACUGUUUUCAUCUGUACUUCCACUUCAUUAGUUCAAAGGUGGUAUUAUGGAAACGCAUAUUUCUAUUAAUCGCUCCUGGGGGCUCCUCAUCCUCUGCGGCGGGAGAGAAGGCGAAGCAGGAGAAAGCCGCUCCCGCUGCGCUACACAGGCCGCGCCCGGGACCCCGACGGCUCCUGGGAGACGGGAGCGAGGGCGGCCGAGCGCCGGGAGGGGGAGGGCGGGGCGGGGCGGCUCGGCGCAGGCUCUCUCCCCGGCAGGCGCUCCCGACGCCCGGCGCGUCCCUGCGGAGCGGGCGGGCGGGGCGGGCCGGAGCCGGAUUCCAAUCACGGCACCCGUCGAGCCCGGUCGCGCGCACGGCGGAGGGCGGGGGAGAGCGGGGACGCGCGCGCAGCAGAGGCAGCGCCAACGGCCGCCGUUGAGAGGCGUGAGGCCGCCCCUCGGAGCCCUCCCGCUUUCCCCGGCCUUCCAUCCACACGUGCGCCGGGCGGGGCACACCGGGAAAAAGUUGGCCGCUUUCCCUCCCCCGUAGCUCGUCUCCCGAGCGGUAGCGCAGGCCGCAGCUAGCCGCCGCCUGAGGCUCCGCGCACCGCUGGCCGAAGGGCCGUCGAGCAGAGCUUUCCCGGUGAAAUAGGCGCGGCCGCUCCUGUAGGAGGCGCCAGAGAGGCACGAGGGCGCGGCGGCGUGCUGGGGAGGCGGGGUGAUGGCAGCUGCUUUGUGUGAUGGGAGUUGGGGCAGGCGGGUGGCGGUGGCUGCUGCCCGUGGAAAAAGGAGGGCCUUACACCGGUCCUUUAGCUCUGUGGAAGAAUAGUUCUCACAGGCUUGACGUCCCAGUGCCUUAUGAGAGUGCCAUUACAAUGAACAGAACUGCUUUUUUUUUUUUUUCCAUUUCCUGUUUCUCUAAAUAAACAAAGCUAGUUAGAUUGGAAUACAUUAUAACUUCUGCAGCGAGCUUCUCUGCUCGCUGAUAAGGUUGCUAAAGGCUAUGAUUUGCAUGGCAUUUCCGAGCUCCUCGUCAUUAGGACACGUUACCAACGUAACAAUUUGUCUGUCUGUCUCCCAGCAGCAGCGCAGAAGGUGCCUUAGGAACGCUGUGCCAUGGGGUGAGCAGCCUGCGUGGGCCGAACCUGUCACUCAACAGGGUGGCAGCGACUAAGGAUGUGGUCCCAUUACAUGGUUCUGCGCCAAGAACUUUGUGCACAGGGCCAACCAUAGAGGGAAAGUAAGACCAUAUGAGAAACUAGGACCACGCUAACCUGCUCGCUUUCCCUUUGCUAUUGACCAAGACACCCUUCAGGCCAUUUGCCUGCCCAGAUAAGCUGUUUUUAGAACGUAACCAAUUGGGAAGCAAUCUCGCUUAGCCACAUGCGUGUAUGAUGUGGGAAACCCUGCUUUGCUCAUUGUGCUGACCUCUACACGGUCCAGCUCCGUUUUUGUCUGCUAGUGUCAUAUAGAGUUUAUGUUGUCCCAUUUGUGUAAGAUGAGCGCAUUGGCUCUGUAAUAUAGUUCACAUGUGUUGUACAUGUGGAUUGUUAGGUAACUGCUUAGCUUGCAUUCUAUCCCAUAUAGUAAAACAAAGGAGGAAGUCCAUUCAAACCUAUCUGCUUUGCAGACUCCUUUAAAACACAGGCAAUUAAAGGCACACCUAGUAAGUGUAGGUGGCCAGAUACUACAGAGAAAGGCAUUAAAAAAUGCAGGACUUGCAUUACUAGACUUGUAGAAAAUUUUUUCCGAUGAGCCAGAAAAAAAUGUCAGUGUCCAAGACAAAGACAGCCAAGAAAGACAAAAUCACAGUGCUCAUGCCAAGCAAUACAGAACUUGUGUGCUUAUGUUUAUAAUUUCAAAGGAAAAUAUGAGUCUGCUGUUCCUCCACUCGGUCUACUAUCAGAUUAUAGCAACAGAAUAGACACUCAAUAUGGAAGAAGAAUGCAACAUGCAUGUGUGUGCUCCCAAGCAGAACCAAAGCUGCUAGAGCUAGCAUCUCUUUCAGUAAUAAUCUGUGUGGCAAUACAGUCCUGCAUUUUUCAGAUGUUGGAUAGUGAUUUAAAUCCAUUAUGCCUGAAUUCAGCAAAAGCCACUAGCCUUGAAAUUUGGUUUUGAGCCCGCUUAUGAAAUAGACCAGCUAUUUUCAUCGAAUUUCUCAUAAGUAAUUUUGCAAAUCGCAGAAACUGCUCUGUAAACUGAUACUGUUAAAAGCGCUCAGGCACUGAGGGUAUCUCAGGCGACAGUCCCUGUCACAUCAGGAAUUGUGCUGCUGAGGAUUUGGUUUGCUCUACCCUGCCAGUAUGCCUAUUCAUGGCAUAAAUAAGGAGCAUCAGGCUGUGUAAAUACUAGUCUUAAUCACAAAAUAAAUUCAGUAAAAAUAAACUACAUUUUAAUAAUAUUAGGCCUGCAGAAGACAGCUUAAUCUUAAUCUGAAAUGAUGAAUCAUAACAACCUUGAAGGGUAUUUGCAUCACAGUAUUGUGCUGGUUGUCUGAUGAAACAUCACUUGGAAAGUACUGUAUUUUUCAAAACAUACAGUAUGAUAGAAUCAUGGAAUUGCUCAGGUUGGAAAAGACCUUAAAGAUCAUCACAUCCAACCACAACCUAACCAUCCUACCCUAACUCUAACAACCCAUAGCUAAAUCAUGUCCCUGAGCACCACAUCCAAACGGUUUUUAAAGACGUCCAGGGAUGGUGACUCAAACACCUCCCUGGGGAGCUCAUUCCUUAAUUCGCUUAACAACCCUUUCUGUAAAGAAGUGUUUCCUGAUAUCCAACCUAAAAUUACCCUGGCACGACUUGAAGCCAUUUUCCCUCAUCCUGUCACCUGUCACCAGUCAGAAGAGACCAACCCUGCUCUCGCUGUAAGCACCUUUCAGAUAUCAGAAGAGAGCAAUAAGGUCUCCCCUCAGCCUCCUUUUCCCCAGACUAAACAGCCCCAGUUCCUUCAGUCUCUCCUUGUAGGGCAUAUUCUCCAAGUAUCUACCAUAUGGUUUCAAUUUCAUAAGAUAUAAACUUUUUUGAAACAUAUGGAUUAACAACAAAAGUAUGAAAACUAUAUGAUUAGACUAAAAUUCCUUGUUUACAUUCAUAUAGCAGUCUGUAUGUGAGAAGGAGUUUGUUGACCAAUGCUAAUGUGUUAGGUGAUGCAGUAGGGUGAUGGAAGCAUUUUCUUUAUGUGCUGCCUAAAGAACUUGGUUGUAUUUCCCUUAAUGAAAGUAACUGUGGAAGUUUAACUUCAGAAAGAAUCAAACCCGUUUUGUUUUGACCUGCCUUGUUUACCUUGCAGGAAAGGUAGCGAUACCUGUUUAAAUCAAAGAUGAACACUUUAGGUGAUAGGCACUUAGAAAGAGGCAGUGUUCCCCUGAGCUGGUUAUCAGUAACAGACAUCUCACCUGGUCAGGAUUUAGCAAUCUGCAAAAGCUUGGACACGUCAGGUUUUAGUAACAUGAGGUAUUUAUCCUGGUAGUAGAGCAGCACUCAGAGACACUGUAGUCUGAAUUUGAAAAUAAACUUUGGUUAAUUCUCCACUUGUCCAGGAUGGGGUGUGGAAGCCUAUCAUGAAAUACGGAAAGAGCAGUUCAAGACUGUCAUGAUGAAGAGAGCUGUAUUAAAGAAAUAUUAGAUCAUGAAUUGGGUAGUCUUGCAGCUGCUUUCUUCUGUCAUUCCCUGCCCAGGAAUUUCUUACUAGUUCUUGGAAUCACUGGGGAACUGCGAAUCCUAAACUUAUGUUUAAGAGAGGUGUGCAUAGGUAGAAGGUCAUCCAUCUGAUAGGACUUAAUCUUUGUAGAUCCUUCUUCCCUUCGGGCUCUGAAAUUCAUGUGUGUAAAAUCUGUGAUCCAAAUAUGUUUUUGAAAACUGUUUGCAAUUAGAUGAGUGCUUCGCUGUUACUGAUACCAAAAUGAAUAUUCCACGCCACAUAUUAAAUGGAUAUUACCCUUUAGAUGGGGACACAUUCCUUUCACUUUAUUUACAUUAAUUCUUGUCUUUUUUUUUUCAGAAUUAUUUUACUUGAAAACACAUUCUUUUGAUUAUAAAGCCAUUGGAACUGUCUGCUAGUUAGAAAUGAUACGGAUCUUAUUAAGUGUUUUAAAUGGAGUCUUGGUUAAUUCAAUAGGGUAGAAUCAAAUCUGUGAGGGAAGGGUUUUUUUUACUUCUUUUUUUUUUUUUUUUU